CCCUGUGGUCAGGCACCAUGCUGUUCCCUUCCGUGUACGGCAUCUUCAGAACCCUGAGGACAGUUUCACCAAGAGGUGUAUUCCAGAGAAAAGUCUUCAAACAUCUUUGCUGUAUUUGAUGCUGAGUGACUGUCAGGGGACUCAGGCUUAUGAGGAGGUACUGUCACACAAAACAGUAUCUAGUGAAGACGACAAGAAAGAGAGGAAAGGAUCGGAAAAAGAAGCUAAAAUACUAUAGAAAACCAUGAGAUCUAUUCGAUCUUUUGCCAAUGAUGAUCGCCAUGUUAUGGUGAAACAUUCAACCAUCUAUCCAUCUCCAGAGGAACUUGAAGCUGUUCAAAAUAUGGUGUCUACUGUUGAAUGUGCUCUUAAACAUGUCUCAGAUUGGCUGGACGAAACAAAUAGAGGCACAAAAACAGAGGGCGAGACAGACAUGAAGAAAGACGAGGCUGUAGAAAACUACUCCAAGGACCAAGGUGGUCGGACAUUGUGUGGUGUAAUGAGGAUUGGCCUGGUUGCAAAAGGCUUACUGAUUAAGGAUGAUAUGGACUUGGAACUGGUUUUAAUGUGCAAAGACAAACCUACAGAGACCUUGUUAAAUACAGUCAAAGAUAAUCUUCCUAUUCAGAUUCAGAAACUCACAGAAGAGAAAUACCAAGUGGAACAAUGUGUAGAUGAGGCAUCUAUUAUAAUUCGGAAUACAAAAGAGCCCACGCUAACUUUGAAGGUGAUACUUACUUCCCCUUUAAUUAGGGACGAAUUGGAGAAGAAGGAUGGAGAAAAUGUUGCGAUGAAAGAUCCUCCGGACUUACUGGACAGGCAGAAAUGCCUGAAUGCCUUGGCGUCUCUCCGACAUGCCAAAUGGUUUCAGGCAAGGGCAAAUGGAUUAAAAUCAUGUGUUAUUGUUCUUCGCAUUCUACGUGAUUUGUGCAACAGAGUCCCCACGUGGGCACCAUUAAAAGGAUGGCCACUAGAGCUUAUAUGUGAAAAGUCUAUAGGUACUUGUAAUAGACCUUUGGGCGCUGGGGAGGCCUUGAGACGAGUAAUGGAGUGUUUGGCAUCUGGAAUACUACUUCCUGGGGGUCCUGGUCUUCAUGAUCCUUGUGAGAGAGACCCGACAGAUGCUCUGAGCUAUAUGACUGUCCAGCAAAAAGAAGACAUCACCCACAGCGCACAGCAUGCACUCAGACUAUCAGCCUUUGGCCAGAUUUAUAAAGUGUUGGAGAUGGACCCUCUUCCAUCUAGUAAGCCCUUUCAGAAGUAUUCCUGGUCAAUUACUGAUAAAGAAGGUGCUGGCUCUUCAGCUCUGAAGAGGCCAUUUGAAGAUGGAUUAGGGGAUGAUAAAGAUCCCAAUAAGAAGAUGAAACGAAACUUAAGGAAAAUUCUAGAUAGUAAAGCAAUAGACCUUAUGAAUGCACUAAUGAGGCUCAAUCAGAUCAGGCCCGGGCUUCAGUAUAAGCUCUUGUCUCAGUCUGGCCCUGUCCAUGCUCCAGUCUUCACAAUGUCUGUAGAUGUGGAUGGCACAACAUAUGAAGCCUCAGGACCAUCCAAGAAAACUGCAAAACUUCAUGUAGCAGUGAAGGUAUUACAGGCAAUGGGAUACCCAACUGGCUUUGAUGCAGAUAUUGAAUGUAUGAGUUCCGAUGAAAAAUCAGAUAAUGAAGGCAAAAAUGAAACAGUGUCUUCAAACUCAAGCAAUAAUACUGGAAAUUCUGCAACUGAAACCUCCAGUACCUUAGAGGUAAGAACUCAGGGCCCUAUCCUCACAGCAAGUGGCAAAAACCCUGUAAUGGAGCUCAAUGAAAAAAGACGAGGGCUCAAGUAUGAACUCAUCUCAGAGACUGGUGGAAGCCACGACAAGCGCUUUGUAAUGGAGGUAGAAGUAGAUGGACAGAAAUUCAGAGGCGCAGGUCCAAAUAAGAAAGUGGCAAAGGCAAGUGCAGCUUUAGCUGCUCUGGAGAAGCUGUUUUCUGGACCCAAUGCAGCAAAUAAUAAGAAAAAGAAGAUUAUUCCUCAGGCAAAAGGUGUUGUGAAUACAGCUGUGUCUGCAGCAGUGCAGGCGGUUCGAGGCAGAGGAAGAGGCACUCUGACGAGGGGAGCUUUCGUUGGGGCUACAGCUGCUCCUGGCUACAUAGCUCCAGGCUAUGGAACACCAUAUGGUUACAGCACAGCUGCGCCUGCCUAUGGUUAAUACUUUUAAGCAGUUUUCAGCACGUUUAUCUCACUUUAUUCUCGUUCUCCUCGGACCUUCGUAGCCAUAUCACUUGUAUAAAAUAGGCUGAGAUAUAGUGACUGUAAGCUGUGAUCUCAGUAUACAAAGGCAGUUAGAUUUCCAGUAAUUAAGAGCCCUAAAAGAUCAGGCAGAGGUGAAAGCAGUGAAAGGUAAGCACAGCCUGCUCUGCCAGCGGCCUCCCAGGGAUUCCCACCCUUUCAGUGCCGGUGCCUUCUGAGGGUGGCGGGGCGGCUCUGGAGUCACCCAGGACAAGGAAGGUGCUGGGGUCUCGCGCUGUCAGGUGGCCGUAGGUCCCUCAGUGUUGGCGGGCAGCCUGGACCAGAGACAGUGGCGAGUGGGUAACAACAGCACAGCCAAGGAACUGCUGCCGAGGUGAGUUUUAACACCUGUGUGUAUCUUGCUAGCACUUACAGAGCCCGGAGUUUCUUAUAUAAGGGCCCUUCUCUCCUCACAGCAUCCUCCAGGAAGACUUUUAAGUGAAGAAUUCAAGUUGAAUUAGUUGUAAGAAUAGAUCUCCCUCCCACAUUACCAUUUCAGUUAGGAGCUAACAGCUUCCAUUGAUGCUUGAAGCAGUGAUCUUUGGAGGUUUUUAAAAAUAGUACCUUAAUGCAAAUUAGGUUAUGUAAGCUUUACAGCACAGCUAGAAAUAGGAAGUAGAAACCGUGCUGGAAUCUGGGCCAGAGUAUUUCACUCCAGCACAUCCCCGUGGGGCCUGGGGACCCAGUGAGCUAGGCACCGGAAACGCGCCCGUGGCUGGCCGAGGUGGAGGGAGGUGUGUGAGGGGAGGCAAGGCUGUGCUGACAGGUAGCUGUAAGCAGGUGCUUUGCCUGCUCAGGGUGGAGCUGUGUUUGUCCCGUCACGCGGAAAGGUUUGGGCUGCUCCCAGCUUAGGGAGAGGACGCUGCGCUCCAGGGGUUCGACAGGAAGCACAAACCAAAGCCCACAUUUCUGCUGUGGUACUUAAAUCACCAGCCAGUCUGCUGCCCAGGGUUUGUAAAUACUUGGUUUGGGAUUUUAAGGUGCUUAGAAUUUCACAAGGGCUGAGCUUAGAUUGUCUGUCUACCUGCUGAUUCCAAGUUUCUUGCCAGUGCAUUCAUAAUAAAAGCCAGUGCUUGAUUCGGCUCACAGUGACUGGUGGGUGGAGAGCACGUUAUUAUAAAUUCCAGAAAGGAAUGGAGGACUCUAGGUGGUACGCUUAGAAAGCUGUGGACUCAGAUCCUUCUAAGGCUCCUACAGCUUGUCUUUUGUAGUUUGUUUGCAUACUUUGGGAGGAAAAUCUGCACUCCUCAACAUGUAUGGCCUCCCCUCUGUUUAUCUUAGAAAAAACAUGAUCAAACUAUUGGUGUCUCUGUCCAUCUGUCCACUUGUCUGUCUGUUCUAGACACUUUAGGAAGUUUCUGUUCGGAAGAGGAAAAGUAGGGAGAGGGUGACGUUGCUGCUGUUGGACUGAAUACCCCGUAUUCCUGGUUUGAAUAUAUUUGCAAAACAUCAGCAGCCUCUGAUGAAAGGUGGGCAGGCGGGUCUGUCCCCUGGCUGUUGGCGGUUGGCUAAGUGGGGAAUACAGAUUGAGCUCUGAGAUGCUCAAAGUUUGUAAAAACUCUGUGAAGAAGUACCGAAUGUUACUGCCAAGAAGCCCGGUAAGAGAUUUGCCUUCUAGUCAACAGGUUUGUUCAUAAAUCCAAGAGAUAGUUGCAUAACUAACGUCCUGACAGAAGUUACUGCGUUCAUUCCUUCUCCGCUGAGGCUUUUGAUAGAAUCUUUGCUUCAUGCAGCCAACAGUGGAGGAAGGACCGCCUCCCCCACCCCUCCUGGUUAGUUGUUACCACCUUAAUUUCUUAUUCCAAGGAGGACCAUGGUCUCUUUAUGCAGAAUUUUGCUAUUUGUGCGGGUGACCUGGGCUGCCCCUGCUGGUGAGUAGGGUGACGACUGGCCCAGCGGCCCAGGCUGCAGCAGCAGGCCCAUGGAGAUGUUAGUUUGCAGCUGUCUUUUUCUGCUGCUGGAUGGCCAGCAGGGGAAGGUGGGAUCGGUGUGGCUGCUGUGAAGACAGUGUCUCAGCCCUGCCGGGGAGCCCAUUCUCUCUGCAUCGUUUCCAGCUCUCCUGUCUUUGGUUUUUCUCCAGUACCAGGAACCGAACUCACGACCUCACGCUUGCCAGGCAGGCGCUUUG